GAUGAAGAACGCAGCGAAAUGCGAUAAGUAAUGUGAAUUGCAGAAUUCAGUGAAUCAUCGAAUCUUUGAACGCACAUUGCGCCCCUUGGUAUUCCGAGGGGCAUGCCUGUUCGAGCGUCAUUAUAACCCCUCAAGCUCAGCUUGGUGUUGGGGCCUGCUGCACUGGCAGCCCUUAAAAUCAGUGGCGGCGCCAUCUGGCUCUAAGCGUAGUAAUUCUUCUCGCUAUGGAGUCCUGGUGGAUGCUUGCCAUCAACCCCCAAUUUUUCUAUGGUUGACCUCGGAUCAGGUAGGGAUACCCGCUGAACUUACGCAUAUCAAUAAGCGGAGGA
rnacentral:misc_RNA from 1 species